CUUGGUGGAAAAAUAUGAUCGUGUCACAAUCAGCCAUCUUGGAAAACCGUGAAGAAAAUACGUGAAUUUACAAAAAACCAUCAACUUCUGGACCCAAUCAAAACCAAUAAUCAUCCUACAUGUCUGCUGACAUAUCUGACCGAAAAUGUUAUUUCAGAUUCUACUUGAGCACGUUCACCGCAACAAAAGAACAGAUUCAACAAUUAAAAUCCAUUGUCUUCUGAAUUCAAAGCGUUUACCUUUUAAUGACCUCCCGAGCGUUCAACGUAACUCUUACAACUAUCUUGCCAAAUCUAGCAGCUACCAAUGACUGUACCCCAUUAGCAGCCGACUCUGACCAGAAACAACAGUCAUACCGCCCAAAUUUUCUAGUAAAUACCAUUGCCACAGUUACCAUGGAAAUCAAGAAUGACUUAUGACAAAAGAAUACUUCUUCCUUAUUUUAUUUCUUUUUGCGUCUAUAUAUUCCUCCUUGCAUUUGACUGUUCUCUAACUGGAAAACAAGGAAAGCAUAAAAAAGAAAAGAAAAAAAAAGAGAUGCAAAUAUGCAUAC
rnacentral:lncRNA from 1 species